GAGAAAAAAACGUACCCGCACAACCCACAACCCAACCUCCCAAUCCCAUCUCCACCUCCAGCGCUCCUCCACCCCCGCCGCCGCCGCCGGCCCCUGCCGCGCGCCGCCGACCCCCUCCUUGCGGCCUAUUCCGCCGGGGCGCUACCCCUACCCCAAGUGCCCCACCCCGCGGCCUUCCACCGCCGACGACACACGACGCCGCGCCGUUGCCGGCUCCCCCUCCCCUGCUACCACGGUGCUCCGGGACUCCCCCCCUUUGCUUCGCCCUGGGCGUUGUUCCCCCCAACCCCGCCGGUUUCGCCACCGGCCACAACUUCCCGGCGCACUCCACCAACCGACGGACCAGUUCGCCCGCCUCCCAUGGCUAACAUCGCUGCUACCCCAGUGUCGCUUCCCACCCCAGGGGCUCAUCUCCUCCACCUGCGCGCCACUCCCCGACCUUCCCUUUUCGCGCCGUAUGCUCCCUCCCGCUUCACUGCCUGGCAUGUGCCAGGUCCAAUCUGGACGAGCAGGACAACGUAGCCAGCCAUAUGCGCCCCUCCAAUCUGAACGGCUUGCUCUGCAUGAUGCCGCUUGCUUGCUGUGUGUGGGGUAUAUUUUUGUUGUACUCUUAAUUUGCUGUUGAUGUCAUAUGCUACAGAUUCACGUUUUUUAUGAGAUACUUGGAAUACGUAAGAGUACUGAUAUAGUAGAAACUAUUUUCCUGAUGACUGAAUGAAGUUGAAACUUUGACAACGGAUGUAGCAGGGUUAGCAGAAAACAUGAUGCACGAUUGAAUUAAACAUGCAGGGUUCAAUACGCAUCCCUGAUUAUUCUUAUGUUUAUUAUUUUUAAUAAUCUACCACUUCUGGCAUCCUGUCGGUGAGUCUUCUUUUGGUCUGCAAACCAUAGUCAUUGUAGCUUUGCUCCAGUUUGCCAAUGUAUAGCUGAAUAUGAGCCAUCUACUUGCUGGAAGUGGUCACAUAUGGGGUAACUUUUAGUGGCAGGGUGAAGUAAUGGUACUGGCAUUUGUAUUACUGAAAGUACAGUAUAUACUUUGUGUUAUUUUGCAUGCUCUCUAUGUGUUCUCGUCUUGGCAGGGGAUGCUUGGUGAUAACUCCUUAAAUGCUCUGAGUAAUAAUUGAGAAUACAUAGACAAUGUCAAAUUGAAGUGUGAUAUUUGUAUGUCAUAUUUACUCCACAAUAUCUUUUUAUGUGUUCUUCUCAUUCUUUUUACAUAGACGUAAUGAUUUCUUUAUGCCGCAAUGUUACUUAUGCCAUUUGGAUUUGGACAACAUGCCGCAGUGUCACUUCGAUCUCUGGAUGGUUGGUGGCCACCUUAAUUAGAAUCGUUAGGGGUAAUGUAGUUGCAAUGCAGUAUCUAUGCGUGGGCUACCGGAUGGAGUUGCAACAGCUGUUGUCAAAAGCCGGAUGUUUUGGAGAUGCCAUGUUUAAUUAAUUAAUUAAUCAUCUUUUGUGGUGCCAUUAGUUCUGAUCCUGGGCUAGGAGGAUUUAAUAUUCUUAAUCAUGUUUUCAUGCAAAUUGACCCAGUUCGUCCGUUGAUUGAUUACUGGACUCCGAGUUGCAUUGCUUAUUUUGGUAAGUGAGAACGUAUGACUGUAAUUCUGCAUACAUCAUCAUGCUAUUUCCUCCUAAUUUAUAUAUGAAGAUUAAGUGUCCUUUUUUACCUAAAAUUUACUUGAAUAUUUAACUGAGAAUUACUUCAUUGUGUGUCAUGCCUAUCUUAUUCCAUCCACAUGAUCUAUGGACCACAGAUAUAGUUCUCAAUCCAAGGAGAGUCCGAAAACUAAUAAUUUGUGCCUUGAAUAACGAAUGUACUUUUUUUGUUCUAAUCUUGAAACCUUGGCUAAUGUAAUAAUAUUGGUGUCACGGUGGUCUUCAUAGCUGUAGUGAGUACAAUCUAACAGAAGCAAAAGUCUCUAUUGAUUGUUGUAGGAGAUCCAGAAAGCGGAGCAUUGGGGCACUCUGAUUUUUAAGAAGCUCCAUGCACGUAUUAAGGCCAGUAAAUUCAAUUUGUUUUUCAUCUGCUUCUCUAUGGUCUGUUGUCCUUAUUCGAUGUGUUAUUCAGGUAUGUGUUGUUAACGCUCCUAAUUUUGGGAGAAUCAGAAAAAAAUAAGUUUUGCAAGUUACAUCAUAUUUCCAUGUUUUAGUAUGAGAUUUAGAUAUAUUGUUUCUCCGGUUCCAUAUUCAUUAUAUGUUUUUCUCCUAUAAUUGGCCUACUUGUUUACACAAGUCUGAAUUCCUAAAGGUUCAGGAGUAUUUCAAUGUUGCUAAAGAAAGAUACAAGGAUCAGUGCCGUAACAUUGUUGAAAGACAAUCAGACACAGACACCAUGCAGCAGCACUGCACCCUGCAGUUCAUGCUCUGCUCACCAUGACCUGCCUCCUCAUCAUCAGACAUACUCAUGUGUACUAGGAUCUCCUCACCAUCGAAGUUCAUGUGUCCUCUAGAUCAAGCCUAUGCAUGUGAGCUGAAGAAUUGUUUGCCUGUUCACAAUUGGUGAUUGAAGGGUGGCCGGUGACUUCCAUAAUUUUCUUGUAGUUGUUUGUUGGAUAAUCUUUAAAAUUAGGAUUGUAGAGAACUUUACAUUACUGUAAAACUUCAUCUUCUUGGUGUUGCUGCUUACAUAUUCCAUUAUGCUAACUCAGCAACACUUUUAGCAGAAAUUGGUUGUUUAUGCAGACACGUGGUGUAGUAAAAUUGAAGAUUUAGCUCCCUCAUUGCAUACUUAUGCUA